rnacentral:rRNA from 1 species
GAUGAACGCUGGCGGCGUGCCUAAUACAUGCAAGUCGAGCGAACGGACGAGAAGCUUUCUUCUCUGAUGUUAGCGGCGGACGGGUGAGUAACACGUGGAUAACCUCCCUAUAAGACUGGGAUAACUUCGGGAAACCGGAGCUAAUACCGGCUAAUAUUUUGAACCGUAUGUUUCAAAAGUGAAAGACAGUUUUGCUGGCACUUAUAGAUGGAUCUGCUCUGCAUUAGCUAGUUGGUAAUGUAACGGCUUACCAAGGCAACGAGGCAAAGCCGAACUGAGAGGGUGAUCAGCCACCCUGGUACUGAGACGAGCGCCAAAAUCCUGCGGGAGGCAGCGGUCAGGAUUCUUCCGGAAGGGGCGGAGGCCUAACGGAGCAACGCCGCGCGAGUGAUGAGGGUCUUCGGAUCGUAAAGCUCUGUUAUUAGGGGAGAACAUAUGUGUGAGUAACUGUGCACAUCUUGACGGUACCUAAUCAGAAAGCCACGGCUAACUACGUG